rnacentral:lncRNA from 1 species
GCUAUGCUUUUCUUUUUCUCUUUGCUUCCCUUUUUUCAGGUGUCAAGUUUUCGAAGGACAAAAAAAAAAAAAGGCUUAUCUUCUUUUGAGGAGUCUGAAGAAAUGUUUACUAUCAAGGAUAGAGAUGCAGCUAAGGCAAGUUGAGAGGAAGACAGCGGACCGAAAUGAGAAUGCAUCCAUCAUUGGAAGAGUGAUGAGCGGAUGCUCCU